rnacentral:miRNA from 12 species
CAGGUCCAAGGGUAGGACGUGGUCCUGGCCCUGGUCCUGGCCCUGGUCCGGGUUC